CCUGCCAGCAGUCUGGGAGGUAGGAGCGUCUGGAGCGAGGUUGCAGAGAGGAGCCUAAGAGACCUGGCAGGUGCAGCAUCAGUUAGAUCCAAGAAGCGCAUUGUGUAGAAAGCCCUCUCCCUUUCUCAAAGCUGGUACUGUCCUCUGCCAGGAGGAGGAAGAGAAGGAGCUCUUGCCUUUGCCCUUACGCUGGUUAGGUUUGGGGGAUUCCCCUAGCCUGUGAGAUCACUCUCAUCUCAUUGGCUGCUCCUGAUUGGAAGCUGCCAGUAUGGCAUCCCACUCAGGCUUGCAGAAGUGACGUCAGCAAGCAUUGAUGUUCCAUUUGGCCCUGACUAUGCUAGACCCACCCGGAGAAGAUAGAAGCUAAGUGUGGACUUUUCUUGAAGUAUCAAAAGCUCUAUGUAUACAGUGUUUUAUUAAUA